rnacentral:lncRNA from 1 species
UUAAGAGCCUUUGAAGAUAUUUGGCUAGGGCUGACAGGAACUGCUACUUCCUCAUCCGUUCAGAGCCAAAUCCUGGUGGAGGGGAUUAUUGAACAGAAAGAGAAAGUAAAAUUAGCUGCUUCUAAAGGAAAAGAGUGUUUUCAGUACUACAUGGGGUAUUUGAAAGGGGAUACGGAAGAAGGAGUGGAAGUCAGUGCUUGUACUGAUGGGCAACAGAUGGCUACCAUUAAUACCUAUCUCAACAUUAAUGGUGAAAGGGAAGAGAACAUGGGACAAAUGACCCUCGCAGCUGUUAAUGGAAGCUUGAGUCUUCGGGCUCAUGGAUGUGGGGAUCCAGUUCUUAAGGCUGAGUACAAACUUAAUGAAAUUGGGAGCCUUCUGAAAGCCAAACUGAUGGAGAAGAUUAAGAAGUUUGAUGGAUAUAUGUGGAGAUUCAGGAGAUCAGUGCAGCAAGUUGAUUUUCUGUCUGAAGCAGCUGCCUGGCCUUCGAUAGCCUUACAAAAGGUGGCAGGAUUCCUCCACAGUGUGGGUAGAGCUGUUGCCCAGGUGUGGAAGCAAAGUGGAAUCAGGCAGAUUCUGAGAAGCAAGCUCCCACUUUACCUGGAUAAAAUUCAAGACAUUGUCCAGGAAAUGCAGAAUGAAUUGCAAAAGCCAUUAGCAACUUUAAAGGAUGCCUACUAUGAUGUAACCUUGAAGCCAUUGGAUGAAGUUUGGCAAGAGAAGACAGAAGAGUACAUGAAGAAAAUCCAGGCUUUUUUACCCAAGAUUGUAAAAGAUGUGUGGCUAAUGGAACCAAUUCAGGUGGCAUUAAAGGUUGUGAAAGCGGGCUUGGAUAUGACUACACAGCAGAUGCUCAGGUGGGCAGAGGCCAUGUUUUCUAGAGCUGUGAGCAAGAUCCGGAAGCCCUUACUCAACCUUUACAGUUUUUCAGCCAGGAACUGUUCGGUGGCAGUAAAACUGCCAGUACUUCCUAAAGCAGACUGCUCCCUGAAUCUGGCAAAUAUUACUAAUUAUCUCAUUGAAGAAAAGCUAAUGAGGCCUCUCCAAGACCUCUACAAUAUCAACAUAGUUGCAGAGUAUUACAGAUUCAAACGGAGGAUGAUGGAGAGUCCUUUUGAAUAUCAUGCGAUAUUAAUGGGGACCAAGCAUCUUAUGACUUUUGAUGGAAAAAUUUAUGAUUUGGCAUCAAAUUGCAGUGUACUUCUUGCCAAGGAUUUUGUCCACAAUACUUUCACUGUAAUACUAAACGAGGAAACCAGUAACUCAAGAUCACUGUAUGUGGAGAUGAACCAGACUGUGAUCAGUAUCUACCCAAGACUGAAGAUAUCCAAGAUGUAUAACUUUUCCUUUAUGGAAGAGAACUGCCAUGUGCUGGAUCAAUCCCUUGAAAAGAAUACCACUAAUUCAAGGAGAGAAACCAACAAAAUAGAAGUGUCUAAUCAGAAAGGAGUUUCUGUCUCUUGUGACUUUCAGUAUGAUCUCUGUACUGUCACUCUGGCUGGAUGGCAUCAUGGUAUUUCAGCUGGGCUUUUUGGUACCAAUGAUAACGAAGCUGGAAAUGACUGGAUACUUCCUAAUCGUUCCUUCACUGACAACGUGCAAGAGUUCACAUGGAGCUGGCAGGUGAACAAGUGCAGUCUCAUACAGAAGAAAGUGAAGCCAUGUCCAAUUACAGCUAAGCAAAAAGUCUGUAAAGUGUUUUUUGAAGAAUCACAUUCACUUCUUAGGAACUGCUUCAAAGUUGUGGACCCCGAACCAUUCUACAGCAUGUGUACGUAUGACACCUGUGAAUCACAGGAGCUGAAAGCUGCCUGCAGUUUAGCAGCAGCAUUUGUUCAUUUGUGCAACCGAAAUUUUGUCCCUGUGGAAAUUCCUCCUCAGUGCUUGAGCCAGUUCUGA